GACGAACGCUGGUGGCGUGCUUACACAUGCAAGUCGAACGGAAAGGCCCUGCUUUUGUGGGGUGCUCGAGUGGCGAACGGGUGAGUAACACGUGAGUAACCUGCCCUUGACUUUGGGAUAACUUCAGGAAACUGGGGCUAAUACCGGAUAGGAGCUCCUGCUGCAUGGUGGGGGUUGGAAAGUUCCGGCGGUUGGGGAUGGACUCGCGGCUUAUCAGCUUGUUGGUGGGGUAGUGGCUUACCAAGGCUUUGACGGGUAGCCGGCCUGAGAGGGUGACCGGCCACAUUGGGACUGAGAUACGGCCCAGACUCCUACGGGAGGCAGCAGUGGGGAAUAUUGCACAAUGGGCGGAAGCCUGAUGCAGCAACGCCGCGCGCGGGAUGACGGCCUUCGGGUUGUAAACCGCUUUCGCCUGUGACGAAGCGUGAGUGACGGUAAUGGGUAAAGAAGCACCGGCUAACUACGUGCCAGCAGCCGCGGUGAUACGUAGGGUGCGAGCGUUGUCCGGAUUUAUUGGGCGUAAAGGGCUCGUAGGUGGUUGAUCGCGUCGGAAGUGUAAUCUUGGGGCUUAACCCUGAGCGUGCUUUCGAUACGGGUUGACUUGAGGAAGGUAGGGGAGAAUGGAAUUCCUGGUGGAGCGGAGGAAUGCGCAGAUAUCAGGAGGAACACCAGUGGCGAAGGCGGUUCUCUGGGCCUUUCCUGACGCUGAGGAGCGAAAGCGUGGGGAGCGAACAGGCUUAGAUACCCUGGUAGUCCACGCUGUAAACGGUGGGUACUAGGUGUGGGGUCCAUUCCACGGGUUCCGUGCCGUAGCUAACGCUUUAAGUACCCCGCCUGGGGAGUACGGCCGCAAGGCUAAAACUCAAAGGAAUUGACGGGGCCCCGCACAAGCGGCGGAGCAUGCGGAUUAAUUCGAUGCAACGCGUAGAACCUUACCUGGGUUUGACAUGGAUCGGGAGUGCUCAGAGAUGGGUGUGCCUCUUUUGGGGUCGGUUCACAGGUGGUGCAUGCCUGUCGUCAGCUCGUGUCGUGAGAUGUUGGGUUAAGUCCCGCAACGAGCGCAACCCUUGUUCACUGUUGCCAGCACGUUAUGGUGGGGACUCAGUGGAGACCGCCGGGGUCAACUCGGAGGAAGGUGGGGAUGACGUCAAGUCAUCAUGCCCCUUAUGUCCAGGGCUUCACGCAUGCUACAAUGGCUGGUACAGAGAGUGGCGAGCCUGUGAGGGUGAGCGAAUCUCGGAAAGCCGGUCUCAGUUCGGAUUGGGGUCUGCAACUCGACCUCAUGAAGUCGGAGUCGCUAGUAAUCGCAGAUCAGCAACGCUGCGGUGAAUACGUUCCCGGGGCU
rnacentral:rRNA from 1 species